CGUCGUGCUGGGGAUAGAGCAUUGCAAUAUUGCUCUUCAACGAGGAUCCCUAGUAAGCGCAAGUCAUCAGCUUGCGUUGAUUACGUCCCUGCCCUUUGUACACACCGCCCGUCGCUACUACCGAUUGAAUGGCUCAGUGAGGCGUCCGGACUGGCCCAGGGAGGUGGGCAACUACCACCCAGGGCCGGAAAGCUCUCCAAACUCGGUCAUUUAGAGGAAGUAAAAGUCGUAACAAGGUCUCCGUUGGUGAACCAGCGGAGGGAUCAUUACCGAGUUUACAACUCCCAAACCCAUGUGAACAUACCUUUACGUUGCUUCGGCGGAGCCGCCCCGGCGCCCGGAACCUCUUCGGUUUCGCGGCCCGGAACCAGGCGCCCGCCGGAGGCCACAAACUCUUUUGUUUUUACAGUUUCUUCUGAGUGUGCCGCAAGGCAAAAUACAAAUGAAUCAAAACUUUCAACAACGGAUCUCUUGGUUCUGGCAUCGAUGAAGAACGCAGCGAAAUGCGAUAAGUAAUGUGAAUUGCAGAAUUCAGUGAAUCAUCGAAUCUUUGAACGCACAUUGCGCCCGCCAGAAUUCUGGCGGGCAUGCCUGUUCGAGCGUCAUUUCAACCCUCGAGCUCCCCUCUUUUUGGGAGAGCCCGGCCUUGGGGACCCGGCGCUAACACCGCCGGCCCCGAAAUGGAGUGGCGGCCCGUCCGCGGCGACCUGUGCGUAGUAAUAUCCACUCGCACCGGGACCCGGGCCCGGCCACACCGUUAAACACCCCACCUUCCGAAUGUUGACCUCGAAUCAGGUAGGAAUACCCGCUGAACUUAAGCAUAUCAAUAAGCGGAGGAAAAGAAACCAACAGGGAUUGCCCCAGUAACGGCGAGUGAAGCGGCAACAGCUCAAAUUUGAAAUCUGGUCCCCAGGGCCCGAGUUGUAAUUUGUAGAGGAUGCUUUUGGCGAGCGCUUCCGAGUUCCCUGGACGGGACGCACAGAGGUGAGAGCCUCGUCUGUCGAUGCCAGCCUAUGUAAG
rnacentral:rRNA from 1 species